rnacentral:lncRNA from 1 species
AAACAAUUGAGUGAAGAAAUAUUAACAGAAAUUAAAAGAUUUUAGACGAGGUGUGAAAUAUAGGAAUCGAAAUCGAAAUUUAAAUGGAAUCUCUCAUCAGAGAAUACAUUUUUCAAAUUCUUCAAUCCUCCAAUCACAUCGAUGGACAGAGUUGUCCGAAUCUAUUCUUGAUUUUAUUUAGUCAAGUUGUACCUCUUCUUUUCCAUUGGGAUUGCAGGAGAGUUGUUGACAAGAUGAGUUUAUGCUUUUCUUUGACCUUCAGUUUCCCUAACGUGGCCAUGCAAACUGUAUGAAAUUAAAUCAUCAUUUCGUCUCUCGAGGAUUUAUUUUCUAGAUAAAUUCUUUUCUCUCUUCUCCACCUAAAAGAAUCAUUUAAAUCUAAACUUUCUACUG